rnacentral:tRNA from 1 species
GGGGCCUUAGCUCAGCUGGGAGAGCGCCUGCUUUGCACGCAGGAGGUCAGGAGUUCGGAUCCUCCUAGGCUCCACCA